AAACGCUUCUGGAGGUAAUAAUUUACAAAAAACCCAAUAUAACCCUAGCACUCCUGUUUUUGUUAUGGUUUUUUCUCGGUGGCGAUUUUUUUGGGGGGAGGGGGAGGUGGGGCGCCGGGCACGGGGGAUGAUGCUCAUAAUCUUGCUUUAAGCAUAAUUGGCUAGUGAGUGUGAUCAGAGAAAGAUAAUGGGCCAACGUUUAUGGACUGGAGUCCAAAAAAAAAACACUUGUAAAUGGCUCUUUGGUGAAAACCUAAGAAUAAGUAACAUUGCACCAUUGUGAAGAUAUUUUUACUUGUUAAAAAUGCAGACUGUUAUCUAGUCGCACAACAUUUUUACAAGAAUUCGUCCGCAAAAUAAUAAGUGUUUUUUGGUUUCUAAAAUAGUGAACAAAAUUUAUACAUAAGCUAUAGAGUAAUUCUAGGCCUAUCAAAUUGAACUGUAGAACAGCAAUAGAGGAUCUGUUAAAGGCCCAACAGAGGUGUCAAGUAUGAUCCAAGUCUUUUAUGGUCCUACAAACAAAAAAAUCAAAUUGAAACAAAAAACGAGAAGUUUGUAACACACCCUGUCACAGAAAUGGGUUCUUUGAUGAUAGUUUUGACUAUUGAGACGCAUAAAACUAUAAAAGUCUCUGCACUUUUGAAAGAAGCAGAUCCAGUUUUAACUAUGCUUAUGUUAAGAAUGAUGUCUAAUUUUUUAGAGAUAAGCGAUCCUUGUUUUUAUCAUUAAAAAAAAAAAAAGGGAUCCUUGUUUUUUUCGGUGAAUAAACAAUGUUCUCACCAAAAGCCUCGUGAGAUACUUAUGUCAGUAUUUAGUCAUUCUGGUUGUCUUUUUCCAAAAUUUUAACGAGUUUCUUUCGCAAUAAUAUCUUGUAUGAGAUAUCCCCUUUUUUUCAGAAAGCCAUAAUAGUCAUUUGAAAAGAGAAAUAGACUAUGAGACCUUUAUAUCUCUAACUAACAAAAGAACAUGUUCCCUUUUUUCUGUUGGAUAAUCCAGCAUGGUCAAUAUUCUCUUACCCUUGAUGCAUUGCAUGCUUCAUCACCUCUUUUCUGUAUCGCAUAGCAUAAGAAUAAUAACAUCAUCAAUCAAAUUAAAGGACGCGGUGAAGAUCAGAUGAGAUGAGGGGUGAUCCCUUGCUUGUAGCAAGCGUUCACCAAGAAUGCCAUUGUCUUUUCAUGUCUCCUUUUUUCUUUCUUCUUUUUUUUUUCUUGAAAUGGUUCAAACAGAAGGAAUACACAUGCACUUUCACAGUUCACUCACUCAAACUCAAGCAUAAUAAACAAAAUAAGCAUAAUUCUUCUGACAAGUGACAAGAUAUGUCUUUGCAAGAGUCACUCACGUUCACGAAGGAUAUCUCACACAGAUUCUCGUUGGUGUUCCCAGAAGAAAUUCAAAACUCUUUUGUGUGUGUCCCAUUCCUCUGUUUUCUGAAGGCACCUCAUGUUUGAAAUGACAAGACAAGAUUGUUCCUAUUUUCCCAAACUCUAUAAACAAAAGAUCAUAAAAAUAUUUGUUCAACCAUAGACCAAAGUCACCCCCAUCAUUACCCCCUCAUGCCCCAACAUAUAGCUGCGAAAAAUCCUCUCUCUGUAGUCCUUUCAAUCUUCUGCAUAAAUGCAGUACCCUCUUCAUGUUCUGUACAUUAAUACGGUAAGAGAUGAUCAUCUACCCUCACAGUAUUCUUCUCAUAAAUAGGUACGAAGGAGCCAAUAACAGUUUGUUAGUUGGCUUAUGCCCCCACCACACUGCUUAGGCUGAAUUUAGAGAUUGCUUCAAAAAUGAAAUAGAAAGAUGAUAGAUGACACAAAUUUAUUUGAAGAGAUAUAUAAGAGAGAGUGGAUCAAAUAGACGUUCAUUGCCUUUUUCUGUUCAUUCCAAAAUAUUGGGACAGUGGUCAGUGGGGGACCGUUUGGACAUAUUUUCUGUGUCCCGAAUCAAUCACCGUACAGGCCUUAGAGAUAUGGGACAGACAUUCACAGAGGUUUAGGUUCAUUUGACAUGAUCAGCUUUCUUCUUCACUCUAUGGCUAGUAGCUUAAUAUGUAUCUACAUUGCUAUAAAAAGCAAGAAGUAGAACAAUCUUUAUGCUCAUCCGGGCAUGCAUGCAUUACUUUAGAAAAGUAAUGAUGACUUAAAAGAAUGGGUUGAAGAACUACCACUUUUUGGUGGCAUAUGGGGAGAAGUCCAGGCAAAAGUUUUGCUUCUUAUGUUCCAGUUCAUAAGUAUUUCAAUUCAGUUUUAUUAGUUAUUUGCAUCUUUUUGUAAGGUGAGUAUGAAAAUGGAUUAAUAUUAUUAUUGAUAGAUGAUUUUAGUUCAUCUAAAUAAUUGUCUUAUUUUUCUGUGUGUUUCUUCUUGCUACUGAUGUAAAUCAAAAGGAUUUGCAUAUAUAUUUUCUUCUCUUAUUUUUCAUGUUUUGUUUUGCACCAUGCCAACAAAUCCAAUCAGAAAAAAAAAAAGUUCUACUUCUUAAAAAAGGGUUCUGCUUCAAAUUGGAUGGAAAUAUUACCAUACGUAUCAUAUCGACUAUUAAACAUAUAUAUUGGUCACUAUGGGAAAUAUGCUAAUGUGUUUCCAAAAAAAAAAGUAUGUUUAAGAAUAAGACAAUAAGUCAUUAAUAUGACAAGAAAAUAUUUAAUUUCUAUAAAUAAUAUCCCAUGCAAAAUAAUUUCAUUAAAUAAGAAUGAUACCCGGUCUUGAAUACCAUUUAGGAAAAGAAAUAAACCACCACUCGCUCAAGUUAAUUUUUGAGGGGAAAUUAUAUAUAAUUGCUAUCUUCCCUUCCACUUCUCUAUCAUCAUUCAUCAUCUCAACCCAAGUAUUUCUUUUUGGUCGCUCUUGCUCCAACUAUGUAUCCCGCAUGUAUGGUAAGUGAUCUAUAAACAUUCAAAUAUUUAGUUUAAUUUCUUUUAUCUUGCUAUUGGUCUCUCAAUUUCUUUUUCUUCUAUUUGAUGCUAAUAACUAGUUAUUGUUUGAUCUUGUAAGCUGCAAAUUGAAUUGUUGGAAUAGUGUUACCUAGACAAUGUAGAAUUCACACUCCAUUUAAUGGGUGGGGUUCCAAUAACAUUUCUUGUGACAAAUAAUAUUGUAUUGUAGAUGAGUCAAGGUUACUGUUGCCAUGAGGGUUCAUAUCCUUACCCGUCAUGUUAUUGUGAACAUCAGCAACACUAUAUAAUCGACAACAACAAUAACUAUGUGGAAAGAAACCCUUACCCUUUUGACGGUUCAUGUUUUGAUGCAAGAUUAAGGAGGCCUUAUUAUCCCUAUUAUUACCAUAAUUCUCGAAAUUAUGGUAUUCAGGGAAGAGUGGAUCCUUAUGCAAGCUAUGGAACACACUACUUUGAGUCUCCACUUUUGGCGUACUCUCAACCAUUGCCACCACCACACAAGCAUCCAUUUCAUGAUCUAGAAUCC
rnacentral:lncRNA from 1 species